GAAUGAUGUCUAGGUGGGAACCAGUUUAUACUUAGCCACAACAUCAUCAAGAAAAGUUGGCCUGAUAUUGGUCAGGAUAUAGAGACAUGUCAUUGUCCAAGGACCUAUUUUUUGGCUAAGGGACAGGGAAAGCUAGAUCAAGGAACUGGAACUGGUCAUGGCCAUAUUCUUAUAUGCUUGCGAGUCUUGUACGCAGAGUGCAAAGAGGAGGAUCCUAACAAUGAAAUUUAGAUGCUACAGAAGGACCCUAGGUACAGUAUUACAUUUAAAGAAUGCAUCAGAAACAAAGAGAUUAGAGAUAGGGUUAUAACAGCAUUUGGACCCCUUGAAGACCUGCAAACUAUUGUAAAAAGAUGCAAACUAAAACUCUAUGGCCAUAUUACAAUGUCAUGGCUCGCAAAGACCUUCCUUCAGGGAACCAAAGCAAAAGACAGAGAGAAAUGGAGAAAGACAGUCAACAAAUCUUGCGUGGUGCCCCGACAGACUAAGGGAUAGGUGAAGGUGAAUAGGUUUAGCUUUUCAUUAUGACCAUACAAAAGAACAAUUUUACUUUGUUCUCUAAAUGAUUUAAUAAUCUAAGGAAUAAUGGCUGACAAUAUCAAAGUUAUUUAGUGAAGUGAAAUACAAAAUACUGCAUGUUGUUAAGCACAAAACUCCUAGGAUAACUUUCUUUUUUUUUUAUAUUAAAUAUGUUUUCUUUAAUCAUUUCUCAUACUCUACACAAAUUUACAUUUUCUAGAAUUUCAAUCUCAAAUCAAUGAAAUUAAUGGAAUCAACCCACAAUAAAAGUAAUUGAAUUCAUUUGCAAAUCUUAAAUCAAUGAAAUCAAUGGAAUCAAAUGACUGUUAAUGAAGUAAUGUAAUUCAUUUGCAAAUCAACUUUCUAUACUUGCCAGGGUAUUUAAUGUUACACUUAACAAUCAAAGAACACAGAUGCAUGCGUAAGAAAUCUAUUAGUGUUGUCAAUUGGUAUGGUUGACCAAAUACCACACGGCCAGGCAGAUAUCCGAUGAGACAAUUGAUAAAAAUUUGUUAAUCUGUUUAAGCAUCCUUUAAAUGUAGAACAGUUGACCAACAUACAAUCUCAAUUAAAAUUAAAUUACCUGCCAACUAUAGCCAGAUUUAUGGGCUUCCAUUUUAUUUGUUACUAUUUUCCCCAAAUAUGGUCCAAAUCUAGUUCUUGAAGGAAAAAACUUAGUAGCAAAAACACCUAGUCCUGCCUCUGGUAUUUCUGAAGACUUUAUAACUAGUCCUUCUGGUAAUGUCUUCUUGCUAUAAUCUUCAUCCUUACCUUUCCUACUAUCAGAAGGAACCUACAAAGAUAAUAAAGUAGACUAAUAUCCUGAUAGGAAAAAAAUGGUAUAAUAUUUUUAUUGAUUGAAUUUAUACAAGUUGAGUUGGAACAAUAAAAAACAAAGCUUUGAAUUAAUACUUAAAAAAACAAUAAUUACAUUAGGAGUGGUAGAUGUAGUUGUUAUAUAAGAGGUAUAUAAUGAAGAUAAUAACUUCAUUUUCAGGAAUUUUACUUUAAAGUAAGAGUGGUUCAUCUAUUAUAACAUUUAGCCCUUAAAUACUGCAUUGGUUAAGAUAGGCAUUUAGAAAGAUUAUAUUUCUUACCACAGCAUCUAAAACAAUGUUGAGUCCACCAUGUUCUGGACAAUCACCGACAUACUCCAAAAAACAUUCUUGACAAACUGCAAAAACAAUUUUGAUGUCUAAAAUGGUGAAAAAAUGUUGAUGUCUAAAAUGGUGACAAGUACUAAUUCUAGGAAGCCUGGAGUUAGCAUAAUAAUAAUUAGCUUGGUUAUAAUUAAGUACAUGGAGAUUAGCUAUUUAUGGCCUAAAAAUACAUGAUGUCUUUCAGUUGCAAAACGACCAUGGUUCAUCUCAUAGAAUGCCAGGGCAUUAACUAUGGUCAGAACGAUAUUGUCCACACAGCUGUUCACACCUCUCCAAGCAGAUGAUGUCUUCAAAGGAAUGGCAAUUACAGUUUGGUGCCAGCAGCAUCGCAGGCUCUGCCAGGGUGUUGCAAACUGCCUAAGGGUCUCUACCUCCUGAUUUUUCCUCAAAAUUGACCCCUCCCCCCAAAACCUUUCCCAUGUUUGGAUAUAGCUGCAAGGCAGCAGAGGUUUGAAUUUUUACUUCUCCUAGUUGGGUAGACAGCAAGGGCUGUCUUAUUGCACAAAACUUACUGGUUUAGGCCCCAGUUACUCAGCUUCGCCCCUUCUCCAGUUAGUGAAAGUUCCACUGGACUCAAUAUCUGAGACACAUGUGAAGGCCAGGAGUAGAAGAGCCAUGCCAUAUGGAUGCAUUUUAAAGAUAAUGGAAUGCUUAGGUCAAUUUCCACUUUCAGCAAUAACAAUGUAUGGAACCAUAUGUAUUGCAAUAAAAGACAACAUAAAAGAAUGGACAGGCCUGCUAUUGAAAGAGAUUCUAUCCAAGGCAAAAGACAGAGAGGAAUGGAGAAAUAUAGUCAACAGAUCUUGUGUGGUGCCCUAACAAUCCAAAAGACAAAGGGAUAGUUGAAGGAUUCACAGUUAGAAAUAAAUCUUGACAUAUUAGAGAGAAGUGAGACUACAAGGUCUGGACAAACUAUAAAGGUGAAAAGUUUUAGAUUUAAUUUCUUAUCUGCAGUAGAGUUAACAUCUUGCAGUUACAAAUUUCAACAUAAAAGUACUGUUUUAUUGAAAUGUGUAAUACAAAAUUCACUAUAAGUUUAAUUUUUUUUUAAGAAACUGUUGUUAUCACUUCCCUUGUUUAAUAAAUUGUCAAUGUCCAGUA